UCCUUCUUUUUUUUUUUUUCCCUAUUUCAGACUGAAGACUUCCAACGAGAAAACUGAAAACCCCAAAACCCCAAGCUCCUACCGUUCUCUCUCUCCCUACCUGUUCUUCUCUUUCUCUCUUUCUUUCCUUCUCUCUCAGUCAGAUUAGAUGAAAUAGACGAAUCCAGCUCUGAAUUCUCUAUCUCGCUCUGUUUUCGCAGAUUGGUUGGCUGGCACUAAGAAAAUUCGUUGGUUAUGGAGCGAUGGGAAGAGCAACCUUGAAGAAGUUGUGUCUAUUGAUUCAGAGGAAGAUACAACUCCAAAAAUUGGAGAAAAUGAAGACACUAAAGAAGAUAUAACUCCAAAAAUCGGAAUGGAGUUUGAUUCAGAGGAUGAGGCAUAUCUAUAUAAUAUAUAUGCUAGAUAUGUUGGAUUCAGCAUUCGUAGAGAUUGGCUGAACAGAAGUAAGGCAAAUAAAACAACUAUCAUAUCCCACAAGUAUUCACUAGGUACUGCUGGAUUUCUGCACUCUGCACUGGGUACUGCUGGAUUUUUGCACUGGAUAGCUGCUGCCUGCAGCGUGUGGGCUGCUGUUUUCUUAAUGCAAUUGCAUCAAUUGCACUCAUUGAAUAGGCUUGCUUGUGUAUCUGAUGUUGAAAGUGGUAAUAAAUACAUGUGUACAUAAUAUUACAGAUUGCAUCAUUCAUUUCUUUUGAGCUGAAUAUUGCCAAUUGUUGUACGUGUACAAUUUUUUGUGUGGAUUAUUUAAUUAGUGUACUUGAAAAUCUUAGGGUCUUCUUGGUUUUGGAUGAGGGCUGUACUUAUUGGAUCAUAAAUGAAUGUAGCCAAUUGCUUUAGUGGUUAUAUGCUUUGCCUUCAA